UGGGGAAUAUUGGGCAAUGGGGGAAACCCUGACCCAGCAACGCCGCGUGAAGGAAGAAGGCUUUCGGGUUGUAAACUUCUUUGACGAGGGACGAAACAAAUGACGGUACCUCGAAAACAAGCCACGGCUAACUACGUGCCAGCAGCCGCGGUAAUACGUAGGUGGCAAGCGUUGUCCGGAUUUACUGGGUGUAAAGGGCGCGUAGGCGGGACUGCAAGUCAGAUGUGAAAUCUGGGGGCUUAACCCUCAAACUGCGUUUGAAACUGUGGUUCUUGAGUGAUGGAGAUGCAGGCGGAAUUCCUAGUGUAGCGGUGAAAUGCGUAGAUAUUAGGAGGAACACCAGUGGCGAAGGCGGCUUACUGGGCACUAACUGACGCUGAGGCACGAAAGCAUGGGGAGCAAACA
rnacentral:rRNA from 1 species